GAGUUUGAUCAUGGCUCAGAUUGAACGCUGGCGGCAGGCCUAACACAUGCAAGUCGAACGGUAACAGGAAGCAGCUUGCUGCUUCGCUGACGAGUGGCGGACGGGUGAGUAAUGUCUGGGAAGCUGCCUGAUGGAGGGGGAUAACUACUGGAAACGGUAGCUAAUACCGCAUAAUGUCGCAAGACCAAAGAGGGGGACCUUCGGGCCUCUUGCCAUCGGAUGUGCCCAGAUGGGACUAGCUUGUUGGUGGGGUAACGGCUCACCAAGGCGACGAUCCCUAGCUGGUCUGAGAGGAUGACCAGCCACACUGGAACUGAGACACGGUCCAGACUCCUACGGGAGGCAGCAGUGGGGAAUAUUGCACAAUGGGCGCAAGCCUGAUGCAGCCAUGCCGCGUGUAUGAAGAAGGCCUUCGGGUUGUAAAGUACUUUCAGCGGGAGGAAGGGAGCAAAGUUAAUACCUUUGCUCAUUGACGUUACCCGCAGAAGAAGCACCGGCUAACUCCGUGCCAGCAGCCGCGGUAAUACGGAGGGUGCAAGCGUUAAUCGGAAUUACUGGGCGUAAAGCGCACGCAGGCGGUUUGUUAAGUCAGAUGUGAAAUCCCCGGGCUCAACCUGGGAACUGCAUCUGAUACUGGCAAGCUUGAGUCUCGUAGAGGGGGGUAGAAUUCCAGGUGUAGCGGUGAAAUGCGUAGAGAUCUGGAGGAAUACCGGUGGCGAAGGCGGCCCCCUGGACGAAGACUGACGCUCAGGUGCGAAAGCGUGGGGAGCAAACAGGAUUAGAUACCCUGGUAGUCCACGCCGUAAACGAUGUCGACUUGGAGGUUGUGCCCUUGAGGCGUGGCUUCCGGAGCUAACGCGUUAAGUCGACCGCCUGGGGAGUACGGCCGCAAGGUUAAAACUCAAAUGAAUUGACGGGGGCCCGCACAAGCGGUGGAGCAUGUGGUUUAAUUCGAUGCAACGCGAAGAACCUUACCUGGUCUUGACAUCCACGGAAGUUUUCAGAGAUGAGAAUGUGCCUUCGGGAACCGUGAGACAGGUGCUGCAUGGCUGUCGUCAGCUCGUGUUGUGAAAUGUUGGGUUAAGUCCCGCAACGAGCGCAACCCUUAUCCUUUGUUGCCAGCGGUCCGGCCGGGAACUCAAAGGAGACUGCCAGUGAUAAACUGGAGGAAGGUGGGGAUGACGUCAAGUCAACAUGGCCCUUACGACCAGGGCUACACACGUGCUACAAUGGCGCAUACAAAGAGAAGCGACCUCGCGAGAGCAAGCGGACCUCAUAAAGUGCGUCGUAGUCCGGAUUGGAGUCUGCAACUCGACUCCAUGAAGUCGGAAUCGCUAGUAAUCGUGGAUCAGAAUGCCACGGUGAAUACGUUCCCGGGCCUUGUACACACCGCCCGUCACACCAUGGGAGUGGGUUGCAAAAGAAGUAGGUAGCUUAACCUUCGGGAGGGCGCUUACCACUUUGUGAUUCAUGACUGGGGUGAAGUCGGAACAAGGUA
rnacentral:rRNA from 1 species